rnacentral:misc_RNA from 2 species
ACACCUCAACUCCUCAUGGUUUUCUAUGAUGAGCUUGGACUUUGGGGGUUUGCUGGCCCAUUCGGUCAGCUCCUCUCAAAUGAAUCAGCUUACCAGUGUUUGGGGGCACCACAGGUGUGAUAACAAUCUACGCUUGAGGUUUUCCACCAUGUAACCUUCAGCAAUGGGGUUUCACUGGGGCUCACAAAUGUCUUUCUUCAGUGAGGACAGCUCUUUGAAC